rnacentral:tRNA from 1 species
GGGCCUCUAGCUCAUCUGGCAGAGCACCACACUUUUAAUGUGGUUGUGGUUGGUUCGAGUCCAACGAGGCUCACCA